rnacentral:rRNA from 1 species
UACGUAGGUGGCAAGCGUUGUCCGGAUUUACUGGGCGUAAAGGGAGCGUAGGCGGACUUUUAAGUGGGAUGUGAAAUACCUGGGCUUAACCUGGGUGCUGCAUUCCAAACUGGAAGUCUAGAGUGCAGGAGGGGAAAGUGGAAUUCAUAGUGUAGCGGUGAAAUGCGUAGAGAUUAUGAAGAACACCAGUGGCGAAGGCGACUUUCUGGACUGUAACUGACGCUGAGGCUCGAAAGCGUGGGGAGCAAACAGG